UACGAAGGGGGCUAGCGUUGUUCGGAAUUACUGGGCGUAAAGCGCGUGUAGGCGGGUCUUUAAGUCAGGGGUGAAAUGCCAAGGCUCAACCUUGGAACUGCCUUUGAUACUGGCGAUCUCGAGUCCGGGAGAGGUGAGUGGAACUGCGAGUGUAGAGGUGAAAUUCGUAGAUAUUCGCAAGAACACCAGUGGCGAAGGCGGCUCACUGGCCCGGUACUGACGCUGAGGUGCGAAAGCGUGGGGAGCAAACAGG
rnacentral:rRNA from 1 species